GAGCCCGUGGCUCAAUGGUUGAGCGUAAGACUCAAAUUCAAAAGGUCGUGGGUUCGAAUCCCAUGUGGUCCA
rnacentral:tRNA from 1 species